CUCUCAUCUCUCCCACCGUCUUCUCUCGUCACUGCACACAGACAUCCGUCCCUAUCAUCUUCAUCACCUGUUUCAUCUCCACAAUAUCUCUUAGUAAUAAUUAUUUUUUUUCCUCUACACCACAGAUCCACAACAGAUCUCCCCUCUCUCUCUCUCCCUUUUCUAUUUAUCUUUUUUUCUUUUUUUUCAUCUAUUUUUCUUCCUCCAUAUCUAAUCACACACAACUUGUUCCGAUCAUCCACGAACAGAUUCAUCAAAUUCCGGCAGCCCACAGCCAGAUCCGUCGAAUUCCGGUCGCCCACGACCUACUCCACCCAGAUCCAGCCACCCCGCCGGACUCCGCCCAAAUGCCGCCACCAACAGCCACCUCCAAUGUUGUCUUUUAGUCAAAAACCGGAGUCAAUGGCCGGUUUCCGGGUUGAGCGGUUUUGUCCGGUCGAACCGGGGUUUAAACAUUUGGACCGGGUUUUUUGUUUUUCCGGUUUUAGGGGUCGGAUCGGACCGUUUUCUUCACGGGUCGCGGUCGGACCGGUUCGACCGGCCGGUCCGGUCCGGUUCUGACAACCUUGCAUCUUAUAUAUAAAAAGAAGAUAUUUUGAACUACAACCCUAGAUGUAACCCUAUGGGUAUUUAUGUAAUUCCAUCAUUUGCCAACCAACCAUUUCUCUUGUGCACAUCCGAAAGCUGCUCAAUCAUUUUUUUUCCCUUUUUAUUUUUGUUUCCCAUUUUAAUUGUCUUAUCAGGUUAUUGAGAUAUAUAUUAUACACACGAUGAUUAUAUCUAAAGAUUAGGGGAAGUUAUUUUAUUUUUUUCAUGAAACUACAGCCACGAUGAUAAUAGAAUUCUUAAUUAUC
rnacentral:lncRNA from 1 species